rnacentral:rRNA from 1 species
UACGGGGGGUGCAAGCGUUGUUCGGAAUUACUGGGCGUAAAGGGCGCGUAGGCGGCUCGUUAAGUCGGGUGUGAAAACUCUGGGCUCAACCCAGAGCCUGCAUCCGAAACUGACGAGCUAGAGUUCUGGAGGGGAAAGCGGAAUUCCUGGUGUAGCGGUGAAAUGCGUAGAUAUCAGGAGGAACACCGGUGGCGAAGGCGGCUUUCUGGACAGAAACUGACGCUGAGGCGCGAAAGCUAGGGGAGCAAACAGG